AGUGAACGCUGGCGGUAGGCCUAACACAUGCAAGUCGAACGGCAGCACAGGAGAGCUUGCUCUCUGGGUGGCGAGUGGCGGACGGGUGAGGAAUACAUCGGAAUCUGCCCAGUCGUGGGGGAUAACGUAGGGAAACUUACGCUAAUACCGCAUACGACCUUCGGGUGAAAGAGGGGGAUCGCAAGACCUCUCGCGAUUGGAUGAGCCGAUGUCGGAUUAGCUAGUUGGCGGGGUAAUGGCCCACCAAGGCGACGAUCCGUAGCUGGUCUGAGAGGAUGAUCAGCCACACUGGAACUGAGACACGGUCCUGACUCCUACGGGAGGCAGCAGUGGGGAAUAUUGGACAAUGGGCGCAAGCCUGAUCCAGCCAUACCGCGUGGGUGAAGAAGGCCUUCGGGUUGUAAAGCCCUUUUGUUGGGAAAGAAAUCUUUCAGGCUAAUACCCUGGGAGGAUGACGGUACCCAAAGAAUAAGCACCGGCUAACUUCGUG
rnacentral:rRNA from 1 species